CCCCAAGGUCUAAAUAACUUUAAACAUCCCACAGUCUUUACAUAUUCUUAAAAUUUCAAUCUCUUUAAAAUAUCCAUAUCAUUUAAAAUCCAAAGUCUUUUUACAAUUAAAAGUCUCUUAACUGUGGGCUCUACUAAAAUAGUUUCUUCCUUCAAGAGGGAAAAUAUCAGGGCACAGUCACAAUCAAAAGCAAAAGUCAAUCUCCAACCGUCCAAUGUCUGGGAUCCAACUUACGAUCUUCUGGGCUCCUCCAAGGGCUUGGGUCACUUCUCCAGCCAUGCCCUUUGUAGCACACGCAUCAUCCUCUAGGCUCCAGAUGCCUGUAAUCCACUGCUGCUGCUGCUCUUGGUGGUCAUCUCAUGGUACUGGCAUCUCCAAAGCACUGCAUGACCCCUUCAGUCCUGGGCCAUCAAUUGCAACUGAGGCUGCACUUUCACCAAUGGCCUUCCAUGGCCUCUCACAGUGCCAAGCCUCAGCUGCUCUGCUCAACUCCUUCAUGCCUUCAAAACCAGUACCACCUGGGUGACCCUUACACAUUACCAAGUCCAGCCACAGCACAAGGUACAACUUUGGCUAUAUCUGGAACACAGCCACUGUGCUCUCAGAAAACACUUCCCAGAAGAUGUCACCUCAAUGAUGCUGGUCUCUUCUUAAUCACCGCUAAUUUCUUAGCUCCAGCUAACCAGCAUCAAUAGUCCCAGUAAUGCAAAGUUUUUGCUUUAGUAGUUCUGGUAUCUUGUUAAUCACAGCUGAUUCUUCAGCCCCAGCUAACCAGAACUACAGAAUCUUCACAAUCAAAACAGCAAUGGCCCUGAAAAGAGUCUUUAAUUUUCCCUCUGAAAUUUCACAAGCCAGGCCUCCAUCUUCUGCACUGUUCUCAACAUUAUCUUCCAAGCUCCUACAAAACAUCUGACAGAGCUCUUAACAACGAAUGGAUCUUCAAGCCCAAAGUUCCAAAGUCCUUCCACAGACCUCCCCAAAACAUGGUCAGGUUGUCGCAGGAAUACCCCACUCUGCUGGUACCAAUUUGUCUUAGUCAGGGUUUCUAUUCCUGCACAAACAUCAUGACCAAGAAACAAGUUGGGGAGGAAAGGGUUUAUUCGGCUUACACUUCCAUGCUGCUGUUCAUCACCAAAGGAAGUCAGGACUGGAACUCAAACAGGUCAGGGAGCAGGAGCUGAUGCAGAGGCCAUGGAGGAAUGUUCUUUACUGGCUUGCCUC
rnacentral:lncRNA from 1 species